AUUGAACGCUGGCGGCAGGCCUAACACAUGCAAGUCGAGCGGAUGAAGGGAGCUUGCUCCUGGAUUCAGCGGCGGACGGGUGAGUAAUGCCUAGGAAUCUGCCUGGUAGGGGGGGAUAACGUCCGGAAACGGGCGCUAAUACCGCAUACGUCCUGAGGGAGAAAGUGGGUGAUCUUCGGACCUCACGCUAUCAGAUGAACGUAGGUCGGAUUAGUUAGUUGGUGGGGUAAAGGCCGACUAAGGCGACGAUCCGUAACUGGUCUGAGAGGCUGAUCAGUCACCCUGGAACUGAGACACGGUCCAGGCUACUACGGGAGGCAGCAGUGGGGAAUAUUGGACAAUGGGCGAAAGCCUGAUCCAGCCAUGCCGCGUGUGUGAAGAAGGUCUUCGGAUUGUAAAGAACUUUAAGUUGGGAGGAAGGGCAGUAAGUUAAUACCUUGCUGUUUUGACGUUACCAACAGAAUAAGCACCGGCUAACUUCGUG
rnacentral:rRNA from 1 species